rnacentral:lncRNA from 1 species
GUGAUGACAUUCAGCUUGGCUGUUGGGUGUAGUACGGGAAAGAGCUGAACUUCGUUUCUGCCUCUGGCUCUCCCACUUACUGGCUUUGGGACCUUGAACAAGUUCCCUAACAAUUUUGCUUUCCUUGUCUGCAAAAAUGGAAUAAUUUUCCAGCCCUCCACACACAUGAGAAUAAGCUUAUAGUUCCUUAAGGCCAGGAACCCAGAAGUUAUGCAGGUACAGUAUAUCAGAAGUAUGAGCCGAUCUUUUUCCAGUCCAUUGGAAAUCCGUUUAUUUUUAGAUGCCUGGAUGGGGUACUCAUUGAUGGGAAUGACAAAGGGAUAUCAAAAGUUGUGUACAGAUCUUGCAAUGGGAGGGAUCGACUCGGCCCUUUAAAAAUGAGUGAUAGUACAUGGCUAACGUCAGAAAUUCAUAACCCUCUGGCUGUGGGACAGUAUGUCAACAAUUGU